CUGUGAAAACCGACCGAGUUCGUUGUGAUCUCGCAAAACAAUAAGUUGGGUUGUGAGCUUGUAAAACAACCGACUGUAAUCUGAGGGAUUAUAGUGAAAUUCUCAAGAAGUCUUGGGGAGUGGAUGUAGGUGCUGGAAUGCACCGAACCACUAUACAUCUUUGUGUUUGUGAUGCCUUAUCUCUUGUAUUUCAUGCCUUACAUUCAUGCUUGAUUGUGUAAUAUCUCUAGCUUUGUUUUCUAUAGAGUUACAAGUGAUUGUUUAGAAUUUGCUUAGCUUCCACUCCAUUCUUACCAUACACAUAGAUUAAAAUUGAUCAUACAACUAUAAGUUAAUUUUAGAUUAAUUGCACCCUAAAGCCAUAGUAUAAUUGCUCUAGCUUAAUUUUUCACUGCUUUACUUGUAAUUGCCUAGAGCUUAAGUAAAUAACAUCUUAUCAUUCCGCUGCAUUCUAUUCAAAGUAAAAAUUAGGGAACAUAAUUUUUAGAAAACCCAAUUCACCCUCCCUCUUGGGUUGUCACCUUGGGCAACA
rnacentral:lncRNA from 1 species